UACGUAGGUGGCAAGCGUUGUCCGGAUUUACUGGGCGUAAAGCGCGCGUAGGCGGCUACCUAAGUCGGAUGUGAAAGCCCCUGGCUUAACUGGGGAAGUGCACCCGAAACUGGGUAGCUAGAGUGCAAAAGAGGGUCGCGGAAUUCCCGGUGUAGAGGUGAAAUUCGUAGAUAUUGGGAAGAACACCGAUGGCGAAGGCAGCCAUCUGGACCGACACUGACGCUGAGGCGCGAAAGCGUGGGGAGCAAACAGG
rnacentral:rRNA from 1 species